AUGAGGCAGAAGGAGGUCAGCAAGGUGGGUCUGCCCACAGGCAGUAUGCAGCUGCGACCUGGAUACUGGAUUACCAGAAUGGAUGCCAUGGCAGUUCAGACCAGCUGCUGGGAUAUGCCACUGGCUUGUGACAGAGUUACAGUGAGGAGUGGAGAGUGGAAGAAUGGUGUUCAGGAAACAGUAGGACUGCCAGCUAUGGAUCAUGUGCUAAUUGUUAGGCUAGAAUACAAAUAUACUUCCAUUGAUGAUACCUAUGUGUUUUCAUUCAAAUACUAAGAGGCUGAAUUUUCUGAAUUUUCCAGGUUUCUGAGUUUCUUUUUCCAUUUCCAUCACCCAAUUAAAUAGUCUUCAAGAAGGCAAAUGGCUAUGGUGUACUGGGGUUUUGCAGUUUUCCUCUAAGUUGGGAAAGUUUAAUCUUUCUAUUGGGAAGGGAAAAAUCAGGGGGAUUUAAGCUCACUAAUCAUCACUGAAGGAAUAAAAUAACAGAGGGAAAUAUCUGACA
rnacentral:lncRNA from 1 species